AUGUGUAAUAUGUGUGUGAGAUAUAAUUAACGUUGAAUGAACUUCCACAUUGUAUAGAGGUGUAUGAUGAAGUGGUGAAAAAUGAAGUGUUAUUAUGCCAUCUAAGUUGGUGAGUAGGCCAAUGUGGUUAUAUUAUUAUUUAUUUCUUUAUUUCUGAAUAAAAAUGUUAAACAA